rnacentral:misc_RNA from 1 species
GAUGAAGAACGCAGCGAAAUGCGAUACGUAAUGUGAAUUGCAGAUUUCAGUGAAUCAUCGAAUCUUUGAACGCACAUUGCGCCCGCCAGUAUUCUGGCGGGCAUGCCUGUUCGAGCGUCAUUUCAACCAUCAAGCCUUCGCUUGUGUUGGGGCCCCGCGGCUGCCGCGGUCCCCUAAAUCCAGUGGCGGGCUCGUCGUCGUACCGAGCGCAGUAGACAUCCUCGCUCCGGGAACCCGACGGGUGCCGGCCGUGAAACCCCCCACAUCAAGGUUGACCUCGGAUCAGGUAGGAAUACCCGCUGAACUUAAGCAUAUCAAUAACGGAGGA